CGGACAUCUGCAGAACUCGCCCCUGCGGAUCCGCGGCCGCUGCAGAGUCUGAACCUGGGUCAGAAUGAACGAUGGCGGCAAGCUUAACAAAAGCAAGUCGAACGGUAACAGGCCUUCGGGUGCUCGACGAGUGGCGAACGGGCGAGUAAUGCAUCGGAACGUACCCGGGUCGUGGGGGAAUAACGAGCGAAAGUGUGCUAAUACCGGACACGAGCUGAGGAUGAAAGCGGGGGACCUUCGGGUCCUGUGUGAUUGGAUGUGGUUGACGCCGGACCAGGUCAGGCCGGCGGUGGCAAAAGUGCAUGAAUGUGGAGGGCUGGCA
rnacentral:rRNA from 1 species